UGCAAAGACUCGUAUUAAUUCUGCUGCAUUUCCCCUUUUGCAGGCCAAAAAAUGUAACAAAUCUGUAAUAUUUGAAAUGAAGGUGCAAGCACAGUAAAAUUUAGUCAGAAUGCAGCAUGUGAAAGGAGGAGCUGAAAUGGUUUUGAUGUCAUUUCCUUCAUCUGAUCCUCAGCAGGAUGCUUUUGCAGCAGUCUCGUGUCCUCAUCCCCUCUCUUGCCAUUAUUAUGAAUCAAUAUGAUUAGUGUUAACAUCUUCCUGCCUUUCUUGCUUCUCUGGACUCCAGUUUUAGCAGGAGAGAAUGGAGCCAGCCAAAACCCCAGAGUCGCCUGGCAUCUGAAAGGAGAAUCUGCUGAAAUGAAGUGCAGUCAUAAUAAAGGUGCUAGCUAUUUUCAGAUGUACUGGUACAGACAGCGCCAAGGAGAGAGUAUGGAGCUCAUCGUGUACACAACGCCUAGUAGUGAACCAGACUUUGGCGCUGUUGAUAAAAAUAAAUUUUCAACUGUUAAAAAAAUUGCUGCAAAUGGAUCAUUAACUGUGAAGGAUCUGGAUACAGAGGACAGCGCUGUAUAUUUCUGUGCAGUAAGUGAACACAGUGUUACAGAUCACCUGCACUGCUGAACAAAAACACCUGCACUGAUAUUACUGCAAUAACUAAUACAACAGACAGAGGGAGUCCUCAUCUAUGUAAUGAAGUGAAUAAUGUUCUCAAAUGUACUGCAUCUAGCAUAAGCACACUUUUAAAAGUAAUUUCUCUAAAAAUCUGGUUUCUCCAAGCACAUGAUACAAUUAUCCAUCUUUUAACAACACUAUACAUGAAGAUAGUUUUUUUUUAGUAAACAUUCUGUGGGCGUAUUACAUUACAUUAUUACAUUAAUGCUAUAUUUGCUUACUUAAGUGUUUCAUUUCAUCAUUUUCUCUAUUGCAUUUAGUGUGCAUCCUUAUUUGCAUAACAAUCUUAUCAUGAAUAAAUCAUCUUUAUAACAUCAACAUUUUCUUUUCUUCUCUUUUCUUUUUUUUCUUUCUUUUCUUAUUUUUCUUUCUUUAUUUUUAUUUUUAUUUUUAUUUUUUUACAAUUUGGCAGGCGGGUGUAAAUUAAAUAAAAAUGCCUUAAUUGGAUGAAAUGUACAGGCCAGGCAAACAGACAACUCAUUCAGAAUGCAACAUGUGGAAGGUGGAGUUGAAAUGGUUUUGAUGUCACUUUAUUGUUAUAUACUAAGCUGUGCAGUGGAAAUAAACAGAUGACCUACAGAUGAUUUACACUCAGUUGUAAAAAUGUAGACAUUUGUAUUUACAUUUACUCAU